CCCUUAGAUGUUCUGGGCCGCACGCGCGCUACACUGAUACGUUCAACGAGUCCAAAACCUUGAUUGAUAGGUCUGGGUAAUCUUUUGAAGACGUAUCGUGCUAGGGAUAGAUUAUUGCAAUUAUUAAUCUUGAACGAGGAAUUCCUAGUAAACGCAAGUCAUCAGCUUGCAUUGAUUACGUCCCUGCCCUUUGUACACACCGCCCGUCGCUACUACCGAUUGAAUGGUUUAGUGAGGACUCCUGAUUGGCGCCGCCGCCCCGGCAACGGAGCAGCGGACUGCCGAAAAGUUGUUCAAACUUGAUCAUUUAGAGGAAGUAAAAGUCGUAACA
rnacentral:rRNA from 1 species